UCAUAACAUGAACCUGUAGUCGGCUAAUAACAAUAAUAAUUAUAAAACCAAAGAUUCUGGCGGUGUUUUACAUAAUCAGGGAAACUUGUUUUUUAAUAUGAUAAUCCACAAAUAUCUUACCAUAUAUUGAAAUUACAGUCUAUAUACUGCCGUAUAAGUUUAACUCAAAGACCUAAACAAUAAAUUUACCAAUAAAACCCCAGGUCAAAGUGUAACUAAUAAUAUGGAAUAAAACGAGCCAACAUACUCUACAUGCCCAGUAACAAAACUAACAUAAAACUUGACAGUAAUAAGUUUUUACUAUAAACUUAUCAAAAAUCUCCAAAACAUGCACAUAUCGCCCGUCACUCUCAUUGAAAAACG
rnacentral:rRNA from 1 species